rnacentral:rRNA from 1 species
UACGUAGGGGGCUAGCGUUGUCCGGAUUUAUUGGGCGUAAAGAGCGUGUAGGCGGCCAGGUAGGUCUGCUGUGAAAACUCGAGGCUCAACCUCGAGACGUCGGCGGAAACCAUCUGGCUAGAGUCCGGAAGAGGAGAGUGGAAUUCCUGGUGUAGCGGUGAAAUGCGCAGAUAUCAGGAAGAACACCCGUGGCGAAGGCGGUUCUCUGGGACGGUACUGACGCUGAGGCGCGACAGCGUGGGGAGCAAACAGG